rnacentral:lncRNA from 1 species
AUGUCCUUAGGGUUUGCAGUAUUAAGACACAUGCAAUGGAAAGUAAAUGUAUUUAAAGUUUGUAGGUACAAUAUGAUCAAAGGGUGCCUGCACAUGCCUUUAUUCCCAGUAUAUAACUGCUCAGAAAUCUUUGGCUUCUUUCUUCUGAUCUCCAACUUCUGCUUCGACUGUCGGUCCUCAGCUCCUGGUCUUCACUGUUGACGAACCACGUUUCUUCUACUCGUAGCAACCAAGCAACACAAACAGACAAACAAACAAUCACGACUAAGAACAAACGACAAGCAAAAGAAAAGCUAUGAAAGAAAGCGUACUAAAUGAUAUGACUUAUUGC